UAUUGGGCAAUGGGCGCAAGCCUGACCCAGCAACGCCGCGUGAAGGAAGAAGGCUUUCGGGUUGUAAACUUCUUUUCUCAGGGACGAAGCAAGUGACGGUACCUGAGGAAUAAGCCACGGCUAACUACGUGCCAGCAGCCGCGGUAAUACGUAGGUGGCAAGCGUUAUCCGGAUUUACUGGGUGUAAAGGGCGUGUAGGCGGGGACGCAAGUCAGAUGUGAAAACCACGGGCUCAACCUGUGGCCUGCAUUUGAAACUGUGUUUCUUGAGUACUGGAGAGGCAGACGGAAUUCCUAGUGUAGCGGUGAAAUGCGUAGAUAUACGGAGGAACACCAGUGGCGAAGGCGGAUUGCUGGACAGUAACUGACGCCGAGGCGCGAAAGCGUGGGGAGCAA
rnacentral:rRNA from 1 species